rnacentral:piRNA from 1 species
UACAAAUUGAGUCCUAGUGCAAACAGCC